rnacentral:lncRNA from 1 species
GAAACACAUCAGUAAAUCGAAAAAUGGGCAGGACACCAAUAUCCAGAGUUCACAACAAACAGAGGUAAUAUUUCAUCUAGCUACUGUUAUUAUAGUAUUUUCAACAUAUUUCCCUUUAUGAGUAAGGUUUUUUCUUCAGGGAAAUGCUCACUAUGAAGGAUAUGAGGCUGGAAGUUUUUUGUUCUUUCCAAAUGAGUUCCAGCCUUCCAGGUACUUAGUUUGAGCAGUUGCCUUACAGUACGAAUUGUACAAUACUAUAUAUACAAGACACUCAAGCACUGCUACUUUUUUCAGGAGCUACAAACAAAUGAACCUGCUACACCAACUCAUAUCAUGUCUUACAUUGAUAUUCUCCAGGUGUUACAUAUAUACACCAUCAACUAUUUGUCAUAAAGUAUUUGUCAAUGACUAAUUCGGUUCUUUAAACUUCUAAGGGAAAGAAAGAUGCCAUGGACUUGCUCGCUGCUAACCUGAAUGGAUGAAAGGGACAUGCUUUGGAGUCUGGAGUACUUCGGAAUGUAACCGCAGUUUUAGCCUUGAAAUUGUAGUGAGGUUAUAUGGAUAAUUCUGGUAAAAAAUGACCGGAGCUCUGUGAUGAUGCUGAUUUAGUUUUUGUUAAAUGAUUGAAAGAAAGUAUCUUUUGUAUGAGAUGCAUAUUCUGUGGCUGGAUGUUGCUUGUCACAAUCUAAACUCUAGACAAACAUAUUUUGAGAGCCAUCUGACUGUCAUUUAGAUCAGCUUACUUCGUUUGUUCAUAUCUCUGUUUAUUGCAAACUCUAUUCUCUUUGUUCCC